rnacentral:tRNA from 1 species
UCCAGCAUGGUGCAAUGGUUUGAACAUUGGACUAUGAUUCUGGAGGUCAGGGUUCAAAUCCCCACUUGGCCUUGGAA